UACAGAGGUCCCAAGCGUUGUUCGGAUUUACUGGGCGUAAAGGGUGCGUAGGUGGUCGGGUAAGUCUCAUGUGAAAUCUCCAAGCUUAACUUGGAAAUGGCAUGGGAUACUAUUCGGCUAGAGGAUUGGAGGGGGGACUGGAAUUCCCGGUGUAGCAGUGAAAUGCGUAGAUAUCGGGAGGAACACCAGUGGCGAAGGCGAGUCCCUGGACAAUUCCUGACGCUGAGGCGCGAAAGCUAGGGGAGCGAACGAGG
rnacentral:rRNA from 1 species